rnacentral:rRNA from 1 species
UGGGGAAUAUUGCACAAUGGGCGAAAGCCUGAUGCAGCAACGCCGCGUGAGUGAUGAAGGCCUUCGGGUUGUAAAGCUCUGUCUUCUGGGACGAUAAUGACGGUACCAGAGGAGGAAGCCACGGCUAACUACGUGCCAGCAGCCGCGGUAAUACGUAGGUGGCAAGCGUUGUCCGGAUUUACUGGGCGUAAAGGAUGCGUAGGCGGAUACUUAAGUCAGAUGUGAAAAUCCCGGGCUUAACUUGGGAACUGCAUUUGAAACUGGGUAUCUAGAGUGCGGGAGAGGAAAGUGGAAUUCCUAGUGUAGCGGUGAGAUGCGUAGAGAUUAGGAAGAACACCAGUGGCGAAGGCGACUUUCUGGACCGUAACUGACGCUGAGGCAUGAAAGCGUGGGGAGCAAACA